GUGGCUCAGUGGAUAGAGUGCUUGCCUUGCAUGCAUGAGGGCCUGGGUUCAAUUCCUCAGC
rnacentral:tRNA from 1 species